rnacentral:rRNA from 1 species
AACGGCGAGUGAAGCGGCAAAAGCUCAAAUUUGAAAUCUGGUACCUUCGGUGCCCGAGUUGUAAUUUGGAGAGGGCAACUUUGGGGCCGUUCCUUGUCUAUGUUCCUUGGAACAGGACGUCAUAGAGGGUGAGAAUCCCGUGUGGCGAGGAGUGCGGUUCUUUGUAAAGUGCCCUCGAAGAGUCGAGUUGUUUGGGAAUGCAGCUCUAAGUGGGUGGUAAAUUCCAUCUAAAGCUAAAUAUUGGCGAGAGACCGAUAGCGAACAAGUACAGUGAUGGAAAGAUGAAAAGAACUUUGAAAAGAGAGUGAAAAAGUACGUGAAAUUGUUGAAAGGGAAGGGCAUUUGAUCAGACAUGGUGUUUUGUGCCCUCUGCUCCUUGUGGGUAGGGGAAUCUCGCAUUUCACUGGGCCAGCAUCAGUUUUGGUGGCAGGAUAAAUCCAUAGGAAUGUAGCUUGCCUCGGUAAGUAUUAUAGCCUGUUGGAAA